CGCCCGGUGACUGCGGACGGAUGAAUAGACGCUGCGGGUCACUGCGCUCUCCCCUGGGUAGAACAGAUGGUUUGAAAAGGAAAGAUUUUUUUUUCACAUAUGGGGAAAAAAAAUUCCCAGCCUUGGAAGGAUAUUUGGGUUAGAGGCCGAAGUGCAUCACAGAUCACGCACGCGUCCACACCUCAGAAAACACUCACUCAUUCCUGAGACGCAACGUAACUCGGAAAGAGAGAGGCUGCCCCAAGUCAGCGCAUUGAAAGCCGCAGACCUAGUGUCUCCAGGCUCCCCCUUCCAAACGGGCGCGGACCUUCUUUCAUAGCCUGUAGCGGGGAGCCGCGUCUCCCCACUGCCUCCCCACUCCCAUCCGGCCGCUCUUUGGAGGGAACUCACACAUCCCAACAUGACGAUGCUUGCUCGGGGGGCCUCCUGGGGGGACCAGGGAGCCACUUCCUUUCCCACAUACUCCGGAAAUUAAAGUUGGUCUCCUUAAGGCUGGAGUGGCAAAUAGUUGUUUUAAGCUUGUCACAAAUGUAACUUACAUUUGGACUAAUGUUUUAAAAAAUAAUUGGAGUUUUGAAUCUACGAAGAUACCUUGGAAGUAAACAUAGUUAUUAUUUUGGUGGGAAAAAAAUGAAUGGACUUGAAAGUGAGUCACCUGUCCUGUUCCCGGGGCUCAGCUCUAGCAAAGUACCUUUCUCCAUCUACAGUCUCCGGCACACAGCUCCGCAGCUGGGGGUGACUAAGAGCCCACACCACGCAAGUAAUAAAACGCUCCAAUUUCAUUUAUUUAAUCAUCUGUGUGCUUCAUUUGACAAAUAUUUAUGGAGUGUCUGCUGCUAGCUCAGUGCCUGGUGCCUGGGACUGAAGACCAGAGCCCCCUGGAGACCAAAAGAGCCAGCUCCCAGCUGUGAGCAGAUCGGGUCCAAAGAUCACGGGCUCGGCGGCAGGAACCUGGUUUGGUAUCCGGCUCCUCUGCGGACUUUGAAGUGCUUUACCGAUUCACAUGACAACUGGUAAAACGAAAACAAACACCUUUCCAGGAAUUGUGAAUUCGAGUUCCAGACCCUCUGGGAUUCCGGGAGCGCAGCUGCUAUUUAUGUUAACAGUCAUUGGUCCCAGGCUGGUGAGGUUAGAAUUUCCAAGUAUAAAAGUAAUUUAGUUUCGUUUUAAAUACAUUUUAGGGCCAAAGAAAAGUGGAACGAUUUAAAGAAAAAGAUGAAAUGAAUAAUAGGGCAAGUUGGGAGGUGGCUGUCCUGAGGUUUCAUGGGACAACAUUAAUUAACCUCAUGAAGUGCCUGCAUGGACAACGUGCCCGGUGUGGUUACAAACAAACCAAUCAGCACAGAUCCUGGGUGGAAAGCAGGGCGCAGCCACGGAGGCACAGUAGGGGUGCAGACUUGAAGGUUUUUAGGAGGUAAGCCCCGAGGGCACGAAGCUCCACGGAGAGACUGUUGACCCGCCUGGGAGUGCAGUGCAGGUGGAUGAGAGUGGGACACCUGCCAGUUGUUUGCAUCAGCAGACACUCAGAGUCCAUGGAAAAAAUGAGCCUAGAGGUUUUUAAACCACAACACAAGCAAAAGGCACCUGGUCCCGUUCCUCUUAAGACAGAAGAAAGAGGCGUAAAACCAGCUCCAGGUGCCACCCUUAAGAAAUGUUACAGUGCCGGAUGGGAAGAGUAAACCCUGAACAUCUCUUCUUAAUACUUUACAGACUUCAAGUGUAUUUUAUGGUGACAAAGCAUAUUGAAGACAAAUGAAACUCUACAACCCUGAAAACCAGCCUGAAUUAUUUUGAGAGACAGACAGUGGCUGCAAGGAGAAGCGUCGGGAUUUUCUGGGCUGGCCAUCUCCAGUGUCACUGACCCCGGUCUACCCCUGCAUGUUUGUUUACGGGAAAGGAGUUGAGGAGGAGGAUGUAUGGCUGAGAGCCUGAAAAUAAUCCAGGGCAGGUGGAGCGAGGAGAGGACUUUACUCCUCACACUCAUGUAGGCAUCCUGAAAAGCCACUUUUCUUUCCAAGGUGGGCACGGGCCUUGAGCUUGGAGUGGAGCCAGUUAAAGUUGUCCGCUCUGGGUCGUCAGAUGGAGAUCUUAUCUUGGGUCAUGAAUUGUGGUUUUAGGAGAAAGGCAGAAGCUAAACCCAUCUUCUGUCUGGUGGGGAGGCCCAGCAAAGGGCUCAGAAACACAGCCACAGGCCUCUUGCAGCAGCUGGAUGCACAUUUCAGGAGGUUGCCUGAAAGCAGAAUUGACUUCAGAGAGUAGGGCAGCAGAGCCCAGCCACAGAGUGGUCCCAGGAGCCAGGAAGUGCCACACAGCCCCUCGCUUAUUUUUACUCAGUAUGCCACAGAAGUCCUGACCUGUUAAAAGUGCCCUUUAAGAAUGGCUGGCCCACCCUCUCUCAGAGGGUUCAUGCUGGGGAGAGGGUUCCUGCAUGCCCGCUAAGCUCCAAAUGACAACCCAGGUGUAGAAAGGGCUUAGACUUUAGGGUUCAAACCCAUCCUAGAGUCCGGUCCAAGGCCAGUUACAGCCAAUGGGCAGUGGUAGGUGCAGCCCAGCCCAUUAGCUCAUUCUUGAGCCUCAGAGGGACAGAGCAGCACUAAUGGGUGCACAAAUGGCUAGAAUGUUCACCAACUCCUCGAGAGUGGCAUUGGACAUUUGGGCAAGGGUCUUAUGGAGGCUGAGAGUUGACUGUGGGCUCAUCACAGCUAUUUUGAGGGUCUUGACAGCCCAACUAGCAAACAAUUCUGCAGGGAUGAGAGGUCAGGGCAAAGGGAAAUGGCAUUGUCAAGUGGACAGCCAAAAAGUCCAGGAUGCCCCCAGGUCCUGGGGAACGGCGGGGGAGGAACUCAGGGACUGGAUUACCCACAGGACCUGGUGAGACCCACAGCCACGGGCUGACUUGUGUCCACUCAGAAGCGUAUGUUAAAAUCCUAACCCCCAGUACUUUGGAAUGUGACCUUAUUUGGAAAUAGAGACUUUGAAGAUGAUCAAGUUAAGAUGAAGUCAUGGGGCCGAGAGCGGUGGCUCACGCCCGUAAUCGCAGCACUUCGGGAGGCUGAGGCGGGCAGAUCACGAGGUCAGGAGAUCGAGAUCAUACUGGCUAACACGGUGAAACCCCUUCUCUACUAAAAAUACAAAAAAAAAAAAAUUAGCCGGGCAUGGUGGCGGGCACCUGUAGUCCCAGCUACUCAGGAGGCUGAGGCAGGAGAAUGGCAUGAACCCUGGAGGUGGAGCUUGCAGUGAGCCGAGAUCGUGCCACUGCACUCCAGCCUGGGAGACAGAGCGAGACUCCAUCUCAAAUAAAUAAAUAAAUAAAUAAAGAUGAAGUCAUUAGGGUAGACCCUAAAGCAACAGAGCUAGUGUCCUUGUAAAGAGGGGAAGUCUGGACACAGACACACACCUGCACUAAGGGAAGUGGGUGGGAAACACUGGGAAGAUGCCACAUGACUGCAGUGACGCAGCUGCACGCCAAGUGAUGCCUGGGGCACUGGAAGCCGGGGAGGGUUCCUGCCUGGCCCCUAAGCUCCAAAUGACAACCCAGGCAUAGGAAGGGCCUACACUUUGGGGUUCAAACCUAUCCUGGAGUCUGGUCCGGGGCCAGUUACAGCUAAUGGGCAGUGCUGGGUGCAGCCCAGCCCGUAAGCUCAUUCUUGAGCCCCAGAGGGACAGAGCAGCUCUAAUGGGUGCAAAAAUGGCUGGAAUAUUUCACCAACUCCUUGGGUGGGUGGGUGGGGGGGGGGCAUUGGACAUUUUGGGCAAGGGUCUUCUUGAGGCUGAGAGAGGCCAGGAAGGAGCUUCCCCUGGAGUUGUCUGGGAGUGGGACCCUGCUGACACCGACCUCAACUUUUGACUUCUGGCCUCUAGAGCUGUGAGAGACUAAACACCUGUGGUUUUAAGCCACCUGGUUUGUGUCACUUUGCUGUGGCAGCCACUAGAAACUAAUACACCCAACUAGAUACGUAUCUUUGUCACAGUUACAGGAAUCUUUAUUUUAUCCAAAAGCAAAAGACACUGAACUUUUGUGUACAUUCCAGGCCUGCUGAUUGUAGCUGGUCUAUAAGCUCGUGUCGGAGUCUAUGGUGGUUGAUUUUUGUGUCCCUUUGACUGAGCCACGAGGUAUUUGAUCAAACAUUAUUCCAGGUGUUUCUGUGAGGCUGCUUUUGGAUGAGAUUAACAUGUAAAUCAAUAGAGUCAAGCAAAUCGUUCUCCCCAAUGCAGAUGGGUUUCGUCCAUGCAGCUAGAGGCCUGAAAAGAAGGAAAAGCUGAUCAUCCUCGUGUAAGAGAGAAUCUCUCCUACCCAACGGCCUUCCAGCUGGGAUACUGGCUUUUUCUUGCCUUUAGACUUGAACUGAACAAUUGGCUCUUCCUGGCCUCAGGCUUUGGGACUCAGAAGCACACAUUGACUGUCCUGGGGCUCCAGCUUAUGGACUACCCUGCAGAAAGACUGUGGGACUCGUCAGCCAUCAUCAUCCUGUGAGCCAGUUUUACACAGACACACACACACACAGUCGCACUCUCAUGCUCACACAUACACACUCACACACAAUCACACACUUGCACACACACAGACACUCUUACACACUCAUUCACACACUCACAUGUGCACACACACAGUCUCUCACACACAUCACACACACACACACACACACACACACACACACACACUAUUGGUUCUGUUUCUCUGUAUAACCCUGAUGAAUUCAGGAUCUUAAAGGUUACCUAUUUCAUUGUAAUGCUGUUUUCUAGCACCAGGCUAGUCCUUUUGUCGGCAGAACUGGUAGGCUCACUUUUUUUUUUUUCAGACUGUUUUGUGUUUUAUUUUCUUCCAUUUACAAAAAAGCAUUUCUAAGCCAGGGCAGUGAAGCCUGACGCUACCGUUCACGGUCAGUGAAAUGAGCAUUCGAGGAUGGGACUCAGCCUGUCUGGACAGGUCCCCAGACAAAAAACACAGAGAAUCAAGAACGCAGGCGCUCCCUGUCGGACGCCAGGCCGGGCCCUGUGACAAGGAUCUCAGCGCUGGCGGUGGGGCUGCCCUGCGGGUUCGAGGCCUGGCUCUUCCUGCCCCACUGCCUGGUGUGUAGCCCAGGGGCCGGGCCGCCUGCGCCCCCCGCCGGGGGGCACGCCCGGCCCAGGGUUGGGGGUGUCCGGCUUGCCCCCAGGGGGCCAGCGGGGCCUCUGUUAUCUCGCUCCAGAACCGACAUCGCCAGCCAAGACCUUCCUCGUGGAGCCCUCGGUCUGGCCAAGGACGCUCCUUGGAGUCUGCUUAGACGCACAGCGGGCUCAGCUUUGCCAAAUUCUCCAAGGAGACUUUCCAUGAGGCGCCUCCUGCCAUCUGUGGGCGGCGUUGGGAACUGCGGCCACCGCUGCUUGGGAAUCAGGACGUCCCAGCUCCCAACCGGCGGUCAUUCAUUCCCUCAACACACACUCUGGGCCGCCCGCCUGGCUCCAGGCAGGCCCUCCGGGGACUCGGGAAAUAGGAGUUGUUAAACAUUUCUGAAACAUUCCUCUUCCAUUUAUUCUGUGAUUUUCUUCAGAAACACAAGGCGUGCACGAGUCAGCUUAUCAGCUUAUCCUUCACCCACACGUAGGCUCUUCUUUCCAAUCAAUUUUAUCUUUGUUUUUUUCUAAGAAAAUUUUAGGGAUUUUACUUGUUUUUGUUUUGUUUUUGGGUUUUUUUGUGUGUUUUGUUGUUGUUAUUUUGUUUUUUUUUUUUUUUGGUGGGGGGUUGGCUUGGUUUGGUUUUUGCUUCAUUUUUUAAUUUUAGGGAUUUUUAAAAAGCCAGCAUUCCUUAAUCUUCUGAUUGUUGUGUGACUGUUGUAUAAUAUUGAGAAAUACAUUCCUGUCAUCCACAACUAACAACCAUUAAUAAUGUGUCGUAUUGUUUACUUUUUUGUUUUUAACUAAAUUUUGCUUUGGGGAAGUAUCCAUGACGAUACAAUAUAGCUGUGAGAUAUUUCCUGUACCUGCUACGUAACACCCCUUCAUGUAAAACGCAGAGCAUUUGGUUUAUCCACAUCCCCCCGCCCCCCGCCCAUGCAUAUUAGUGGUUUCCAGUGCUAAAGGGACAGCGCCCCCCACGUGCAUUUCUCCAGGUACUGAGGCAGGAGAAUAGGGGCUGGAGGCAGGGGACCAAAGGCUGUUUCACUCAGACUUCCUACAACUAAAUUGAAAGGAAAACCCUAACUUUCCACUCCUAAGUAACAAAAGGACCAGAGGCUAUUCCCUUUCUAAACCCCCCCACCUUUUCCUCGAGGCAAAUGGGAAAUUGGCUGUCCGCAACCAAUCAGACUGAUUGUGGGUGGAGUCUUCGUUUGCACCUCUGUACCUUCGCUCCAGUCUCUGAACGGUUGCUGUCCACAACGAAUCAGACUGAUUGCGGGCUCAGCCUUCGUUUGCAUAGAAGUAUAACUUUGUAACUUCACCCUAGCCUCUGACUGGUUGCUUUUGGCACCUUCAUUUACAUGAGGUGAGCAUGAUGUGGCCAAUUGGAAACUUCUAGGGGAUAUUUGGACCCAAGAAGAUCCUGUAUCCAGGCCCUUGAGCCGCUGCUCGGGUCCGCUCCCAUACUGUGGAGUGUACUUUGGUUUUCAAUAAAUUCCUGCUUUCGUUCUUUUGCUGCUUCAUUCUUUCUUUGCUUUGUUGGGCGUUUUGUCCAAUUCUUUGUUCAAAAUGCCAAGAACCUGGACAAGUUGCAGUUAUGACCCUCGACCGGUGAUAGUAGCACUCGCUCCUAACAGCUUGGCUGCAGUAAGCCUAGGCUUCCAGGGAGAGCCUCUGCACCUGCUGCUGUGCUGCUUGAGUUCUCUCAGACAAGGAAGCAUGAAAAGGGCUGCCUUUUUCAAACAGCAGGGGAAGGAAAACACAGUGAUAACAAAUCCAAAUAUUAUUUCAAUUGAGAUCUUAUCAUAU
rnacentral:lncRNA from 10 species